GAUGAACGCUGGCGGCGUGCCUAAUACAUGCAAGUCGAACGAACAGAUAAGGAGCUUGCUCCUUUGACGUUAGCGGCGGACGGGUGAGUAACACGUGGAUAACCUACCUAUAAGACUGGGAUAACUUCGGGAAACCGGAGCUAAUACCGGAUAACAUAUUGAACCGCAUGGUUCAAUGGUGAAAGGCGGCUUUGCUGUCACUUAUAGAUGGAUCCGCGCCGUAUUAGCUAGUUGGUAAGGUAACGGCUUACCAAGGCUACGAUACGUAGCCGACCUGAGAGGGUGAUCGGCCACACUGGAACUGAGACACGGUCCAGACUCCUACGGGAGGCAGCAGUAGGGAAUCUUCCGCAAUGGGCGAAAGCCUGACGGAGCAACGCCGCGUGAGUGAUGAAGGUCUUCGGAUCGUAAAACUCUGUUAUCAGGGAAGAACAAAUGUGUAAGUAACUGUGCACAUCUUGACGGUACCUGAUCAGAAAGCCACGGCUAACUACGUG
rnacentral:rRNA from 1 species